CAACUCUUGCGGGAGAAGCCA
rnacentral:siRNA from 1 species